GACGAACGCUGGCGGCGUGCUUAACACAUGCAAGUCGAACGGAAAGGCCCUGCUUUUGUGGGGUGCUCGAGUGGCGAACGGGUGAGUAACACGUGAGUAACCUGCCCUUGACUUUGGGAUAACUUCAGGAAACUGGGGCUAAUACCGGAUAGGAGCUCCUGCUGCAUGGUGGGGGUUGGAAAGUUUCGGCGGUUGGGGAUGGACUCGCGGCUUAUCAGCUUGUUGGUGGGGUAGUGGCUUACCAAGGCUUUGACGGGUAGCCGGCCUGAGAGGGUGACCGGCCACAUUGGGACUGAGAUACGGCCCAGACUCCUACGGGAGGCAGCAGUGGGGAAUAUUGCACAAUGGGCGGAAGCCUGAUGCAGCAACGCCGCGUGCGGAAUGACGGCCUUCGGGUUGUAAACCGAUUUCGCCUGUGACGAAGCGUGAGUGACGGUAAUGGGUAAAGAAGCACCGGCUAACUACGUG
rnacentral:rRNA from 1 species